rnacentral:rRNA from 1 species
UACGGGGGGGCAAGCGUUGUUCGGAAUUACUGGGCGUAAAGGGCUCGUAGGUGGCCAACUAAGUCAGACGUGAAAUCCCUCGGCUUAACCGGGAACUGCGUCUGAUACUGGAUGGCUUGAGUUCGGGAGAGGGAUGCGGAAUUCCAGGUGUAGCGGUGAAAUGCGUAGAUAUCUGGAGGAACACCGGUGGCGAAGGCGGCAUCCUGGACCGACACUGACGCUGAGGAGCGAAAGCCAGGGAGCAACGGG